GUCCGAAGCAGACUGCUGAAUUACUCGCCCUCAGCCGCAAAUGUCAUCGGCGUGCCCUUUCCAGGCGGCACCGGAACACAUCUUACCACAGUCUUCUUAGCUUUUUAAAAACACUUUAUACUGACCACAAAAAGCAGAAGGGGCACCGGAGGGGGGCAUUUAAAUCCGCCUCUACAUCUGUCCAUCGCAGCCGGAAUAUGCUUCGAGUAACUUCCUGGGUUUGCUUAGAGUGAUUAUUUAUUGAUCCCUAAUCAGCAAAACUGAAGGACUGCAACGUCAUGAAGCACAUUUAUAAGCAGGCUACUUUAAGAUGUUCUUAUUUCUUCCAGUUCAGAUCAGUGUCUCGAAAUGGCAGUAGUGUGUGACCGCACGCCCUGCGAUGGACAGGCACCCAGUCCCGGUCGUUCAGUUUCCAGUGCGCCUUGGAGCAGGCCGACCACAACUGUAACAUCACAAUAUCAAUGUUACACAUCCAUCACAUGGCACUUAAUGUUAGAAUCAGUGAGUUAACAGGGUAGGGUGAUAAUGUGGGCACUUUUUACACAUUUAUUUGGUUUUGGCAUGUCUGUGGUGAAUUUCCUGAGGGAGAUUUCAUAUGCUGUUUUUUUUUGCAUUUCCUGCUCUUUAACGAAGGAAGAGAAACAGUCAGAAUGAUGCAUUACAGCCAAGUUACAGUGACAUUCUAUAAGCCGAUUAAGCUUAAUCUAUAUUGUAUUUUCUGAAUAUGAUGCCUAUCCGUGAUAUUAAAUUUUGUGUUUUUGUGUUAUUUCCCUGCAGAUAUUUUAUAAACACAUGUCGCAAGUAUAUCAUGCACUUUUCAAACACCCUUAAAUGUCCUUU